rnacentral:lncRNA from 1 species
CUGUACACAAGGCAAAGGCAUAGUGUAUUGUACCUUUACAAGGAUAUUUUUCUGAGUCUGAAUUUGAAAAUCAAAAUGUAAACUCCAUAGCAAUAGCCCUUCUUUACUUAUUCUCAUGAAUUAGACGGCUUAUAUAGUUUGACGCUGAGACUAGAAAGAGUUAUUUAAAGAUUAUUGCUCUAGUUCAUUGCUUAAGUUCCUCAUUUAUGUCAUUUAGUAGCAGUAAUAACCAUAAAACAAUAACAGUGCUGUGGUCCUAGAAAGCACUGUGUACUAGGUGCUGUUUUAGUUACUCAUGUAUAGUGACUUAUUUAACCCUUAUGACAGUGUUAUGAGGUUGGCAUUUUAUCAUCCCUGUUUUGUUUUUUAUUUUUAAUUCUUUUUUGAUUCCACACUUUCACAAUAUAUUUUUUUAAAAUUUUCGGAAUGUAUUAUCUUCACAUUUUUUAGCUAGUGCUAACUAUAGAAAAAGAUGAAUACCAUUUCAGUUUGGUUUCUAAGAUAACAUCAUUCUGACACUCAAACGCCAAAAUAUAGUAUAGAUGACACAGAGAGCAAUCAUUUCUGUGAAUUUAAUACAAAAUCCUGUAAAAUAGCACCAUUCCAAAUCCUAGAGAAAAUCAUGAGCAAUUAGAGUUGAGACUAGGAGUAGAAGGACUAUAUGAAAUGUAAUGAUUAAAAGCAUUCACCCCUAUUUUAUUGAGGAGGAAACUGAGUCACGUAAAAGAGAAAUGACAUUCAGAGUCCCGUGCAGAGGAGGCGAUGGUCAGGACAGGGUCUUGUUACAUACCCUUCCUGCUAAACAAAUUCUCUCUCUAAUCUUUACCUCUAGGCUGAAAUCUUUCUUCAAAUUCAGUUCUGGCUAUAGGACAUCUCUUCCCAAACACCUACCAGAUCAUCGAAUCCAGCAUGUUGCAGAUGGAGUGGAGGGUCUGGGGCCAGUUUCUUUGAUUACAGAUAGAAGAACCUCCUAUAUCUCAAACUAACUCCAUCUAAGAGGAAGAAAUCGCUGUGAGGAUAUGAGAGAAACUCAUUAUAAGGGCUUGAAUAGAUAAAGUGAAAAUUUGUCAGGAACAAAGGUGAGCAUUUCCUUUGUCUGUGGGUCACUCUGUCUCUGCAAUCUGUUCUCUGAUUUAUUUCCUUUUUUUUUUCAAAAUAAGUUAAGCCAUUUAUUUGUAGUAUUUACUAGUUUCUGUGGUGUAAACAUUCCCUCCAUGGUCAAUUUCAAUUUCAGUGAUAUCAUGACCAGCAUGAUAUCACUGAAGACAGAAUUGAGAAAAGAUGUGUAGUAGUAAACAUUGUUUAUAAUAUUUCCACCACAAAAAUAUAAUCAGUAUCAACAACCUCAUGUAUAGUACAAUAUGGUUAAAUAACUAAGUAAUGCAUUUUUGAGGGUUUUUUUGGUUUUAAUAUAAUUUACCUAAUUCUAAGUUUAUAUGACAUUUAUUUUAAUGGCUUACAAUAUUUUUUAAAAUUAACAGUUGACUCUCAAGAGCCAUCUCAAGCACAAUGCUGUAAUAAAUGUUGUAAUAUUGGUCCUCA